CACGUAGGGUGCGAGCGUUGUCCGGAAUUAUUGGGCGUAAAGAGCUCGUAGGCGGUGUGUCGCGUCGGCCGUGAAAACCUGCAGCUUAACUGUGGGCUUGCGGUCGAUACGGGCAGACUAGAGUUCGGUAGGGGAGACUGGAAUUCCUGGUGUAGCGGUGAAAUGCGUAGAUAUCCGGAGGAACACCGGUGGCGAAGGCGGCUUCCUGGACCGACACUGACGCUGAGGCGCGAAAGCUAGGGGAGCAAACGGG
rnacentral:rRNA from 1 species